GCUCGGGAGUAGCAGGGAUGGUGUGCUGUCCCACAGGAGGACAUGCAGAUGAGGAUAAGCCCCGGCAAGUUGGCUGGGGCUUCUUCUCCCCCCCGGCCGUGCCCUGGGGGCAGCCUGGGGCUCUGUGACUCAUCUGGAGGCGCAGCACCAAGUCCUGCACGGCCUGACUGGCUGCGAGGGGACUGCGGGCUCCCACAGCACCAGGAACGGGCCGUCGGCUCCUCCUGCAGGCAGGCUUGA
rnacentral:lncRNA from 7 species